AGAGUUUGAUCCUGGCUCAGGGCGAACGCUGGCGGCGUGCCUAACACAUGCAAGUCUACGAGAAUGAGGUAGCAAUAUCUCUAGUAAAGUGGCGCAAGGGUGAGUAAUAUGUAAGUAAUUUACCUAUGGGCUUGGAAUAACGUCGAGAAAUCGGCGCUAAUACCAAAUAAUGCAGCGGCACCACAUGGUGAUGUUGUUAAAGUUGCAGCAAUGUAACUCCUAUAGAUAAGCUUGCAGCUGAUUAGCUAGUUGGUAGUGUAAUAGACUACCAAGGCAACGAUCAGUAGCUGGUCUGAGAGGAUGAUCAGCCACACUGGAACUGAGACACGGCCCAGACUCCUACGGGAGGCAGCAGUGGGGAAUAUUGCACAAUGGGCGCAAGCCUGAUGCAGCGACGCCGCGUGAGGGAUGACGGCCUUCGGGUUGUAAACCCUCUUUUCAGCAGGGGAAGAAGCGAAAGUGACGGUACCUGCAGAAGAAGCGCCGGCUAACUACGUGCCAGCCGCCGCGGUAAUA
rnacentral:rRNA from 1 species